rnacentral:rRNA from 1 species
AUUGAACGCUGGCGGCAUGCCUUACACAUGCAAGUCGAACGGUAACGCGGGGCAACCUGGCGACGAGUGGCGAACGGGUGAGUAAUGCAUCGGAACGUGCCCAGUUGUGGGGGAUAACUGCUCGAAAGAGCAGCUAAUACCGCAUACGACCUGAGGGUGAAAGCGGGGGAUCGUAAGACCUCGCGCAAUUGGAGAGGACGAUGUCGGAUUAGCUAGUUGGUGGGGUAAAGGCCCACCAAGGCGACGAUCCGUAGCUGGUCUGAGAGGACGACCAGCCACACUGGGACUGAGACACGGCCCAGACUCCUACGGGAGGCAGCAGUGGGGAAUUUUGGACAAUGGACGCAAGUCUGAUCCAGCCAUGCCGCGUGCGGGAAGAAGGCCUUCGGGUUGUAAACCGCUUUUGUCAGGGAAGAAAUCUUCUGGGCUAAUACCUCGGGAGGAUGACGGUACCUGAAGAAUAAGCACCGGCUAACUACGUGCCAGCCGCCGCGGUGAUAC